rnacentral:rRNA from 1 species
AGUGAGGAAUAUUGCACAAUGGGGGAAACCCUGAUGCAGCAACGCCGCGUGGAGGAUGACGCAUUUCGGUGUGUAAACUCCUUUUAUAUGUCAAGAAAAUGACGGUAGCAUAUGAAUAAGCACCGGCUAACUCCGUGCCAGCAGCCGCGGUAAUACGGAGGGUGCAAGCGUUACUCGGAAUCACUGGGCGUAAAGGACGCGUAGGCGGGUUGGAAAGUCAGAUGUGAAAUCCUACAGCUUAACUGUAGAACUGCAUUUGAAACUUCUAAUCUAGAGUAUGGGAGGGGGAGAUGGAAUUAGUGGUGUAGGGGUAAAAUCCGUAGAUAUCACUAGGAAUACCGAAAGCGAAGGCGAUCUCCUGGAACAUAACUGACGCUAAGGCGUGAAAGCGUGGGGAGCAAACAGGAUUAGAUACCCUGGUAGUCCACGCCCUAAACGAUGAACACUAGUCGUCGGGAUGCUAGUCAUCUCGGUGAUGCACUUAACAGAUUAAGUGUUCCGCCUGGGGAGUACGGUCGCAAGAUUAAAACUCAAAGGAAUAGACGGGGACCCGCACAAGUGGUGGAGCAUGUGGUUUAAUUCGAAGAUACGCGAAGAACCUUACCUAGCCUUGACAUUGAUUGAACACACUAGAGAUAGAGUGGUGCCCUUCGGGGAACAUGAAAACAGGUGCUGCACGGCUGUCGUCAGCUCGUGUCGUGAGAUGUUGGGUUAAGUCCCGCAACGAGCGCAACCCUCGUCCUUAGUUGCUAGCAGUUCGGCUGAGCACUCUAAGGAGACUGCCUUCGUAAGGAGGAGGAAGGUGAGGACGACGUCAAGUCAUCAUGGCCCUUAUGGCUAGGGCUACACACGUGCUACAAUGGGGCGUACAGAGUGUUGCGAUACCGCGAGGUGGAGCUAAUCACUUAAAGCGUCUCUCAGUUCGGAUUGGAGUCUGCAACUCGACUCCAUGAAGCUGGAAUCACUAGUAAUCGUAGAUCGGCAAUGCUACGGUGAAUACGU